GGAUUAGGCAUGCAAGUCGAACGAGGAUAUAUCCUUCGGGAUAUAAGCCGAGUGGCGCAAGGGUGAGUAAUGCAUAGAUUACCUGCCUCUAGGAUAAGGACAACUUUGUGAAAACGAAGCUAAUACUUAAUAAUACAAAAGAAAAUAAUUUUCUUUUGUCAAUGGGAGGGUAGCAAUACCUUUUGCCUAGAGAGGGGUUUAUGUCCUAUCAGCUUGUUGGUGGGGUAAUGGCCUACCAAGGCGAAGACGGGUAGCCGGUCUUAGAGGAUGGUCGGCCACACUGGGACUGAGACACUGCCCAGACUUCUACGGAAGGCUGCAGUCGAGAAUCUUUCGCAAUGCCCGAAAGGGUGACGAAGCGACGCCGCGUGAGUGAGGAAGGCCUUAGGGUUGUAAAGCUCUGUCAGGAGUUAAGAAAUAUAAGUGUGCUAAUACCGCAUUUAUUUGACGAAGGCUCCAAAGGAAGCCACGGCUAACUCUGUGCCAGCAGCCGCGGUAAUACAGAGGUGGCAAGCGUUGUUCGGAAUUAUUGGGCGUAAAGAGCACGUAGGUGGGUUUGUAAGUCAGAUGUGAAAGCCUUCUGUUCAACGGAAGAAUUGCAUCUGAAACUGCAAGUCUUGAGUGUAGGAGGGGAGAAUGGAACUUCUGGUGGAGCGGUGAAAUGCGUAGAUAUCAGAAGGAACGCCGGCGGCGAAAGCGAUUCUCUGGCCUAUUACUGACACUCAGUGUGCGAAAGCUAGGGGAGCAAACGGGAUUAGAUACCCCGGUAGUCCUAGCCGUAAACGAUGGGCACUAAGUAGAGGGGAUUACCGAUGUUCUCUCUGCCGUAGCUAACGCAUUAAGUGCCCCGCCUGGGGAGUACGGCCGCAAGGCUAAAACUCAAAAGAAUUGACGGGGGCUCGCACAAGCGGUGGAGCAUGUGGCUUAAUUCGAUGCAACGCGAAAAACCUUACCGGGGCUUGACAUGGUAGAAGUAGGAACCCGAAAGGGUAACGAACGGUAUCCAGUCCGUAGCUAUCACAGGUGUUGCAUGGCUGUCGUCAGCUCGUGUCGUGAGACGUUGGGUUAAGUCCCCUAACGAGCGAAACCCUUGUUUUUAGUUACCAGCGGGUUAUGCCGGGUACUCUAGAAAGACUGCCGUCGUCAAGACGGAGGAAGGUGGGGAUGACGUCAAGUCAUCAUGGCCCUUAUGCCCCGGGCUGCACACGUGCUACAAUGGUCGGUACAAACGGAAGCGAAGCCGAGAGGUGAAGCGAAUCCUAAAAAGCCGAUCUCAGUUCGGAUUGGAGGCUGAAAUUCGCCUCCAUGAAGUUGGAAUCGCUAGUAAUCGCGGAUCAGCAAUGCCGCGGUGAAUAUGUUCCCGAGCCUUGUACACACCGCCCGU
rnacentral:rRNA from 1 species